UACGGGGGGAGCAAGCGUUGUUCGGAUUUACUGGGCGUAAAGCGUGCGCAGGCGGUUUUGUAAGCCAGAUGUGAAAUCCCCGGGCUCAACCUGGGAAUGGCAUUUGGGACUGCAAGGCUGGAGUUUGGCAGAGGAGACUGGAAUUCCUGGUGUAGCAGUGAAAUGCGUAGAUAUCAGGAGGAACACCGAUGGCGAAGGCAGGUCUCUGGGCUGAAACUGACGCUCAAGCACGAAAGCGUGGGGAGCAAACAG
rnacentral:rRNA from 1 species